CAGCCGCCGCGGUAAUACGGAGGGGGCUAGCGUUGUUCGGAAUUACUGGGCGUAAAGCGCACGUAGGCGGCUUGGUAAGUUAGAGGUGAAAGCCCGGAGCUCAACUCCGGAAUUGCCUUUGAUACUGAAGAUCUUGAGUAUGGGAGAGGUGAGUGGAACUGCGAGUGUAGAGGUGAAAUUCGUAGAUAUUCGCAAGAACACCAGUGGCGAAGGCGGCUCACUGGCCCAUAACUGACGCUGAGGCACGAAAGCGUGGGGAGCAAACAGGAUUAGAUACCCGGGUAGUCCCUGUCUCUUAUAC
rnacentral:rRNA from 1 species